AUCUUCUUUGAAGGUAUGCUUAAGGAGGGGCUUGCGACACAUUAGUUAGUUGGCAGGGUAAAGGCCUACCAAGACUAUGAUGUGUAGCUGGACUGAGAGGUUGAACAGCCACAUUGGGACUGAGACACGGCCCAAACUCCUACGGGAGGCAGCAGUAGGGAAUUUUCGGCAAUGGAGGAAACUCUGACCGAGCAACGCCGCGUGAACGAUGAAGUACCUCGGUAUGUAAAGUUCUUUUAUUAAGGAAGAAAAAAGAGUGGAAAAACUCCCUUGACGGUACUUAAUGAAUAAGCCCCGGCUAAUUAUGUGCCAGCAGCCGCGGUAAUACAUAAGGGGCGAGCGUUAUCCGGAAUUAUUGGGCGUAAAGGGUGCGUAGGCGGUUUAAUAAGUCUAUAGUUUAAUUUCAGUGCUUAACGCUGUUGUGCUAUAGAAACUGUUUUACUAGAGUGAGAUAGAGGCAAGCGGAAUUCCAUGUGUAGCGGUAAAAUGCGUAAAUAUAUGGAGGAACACCAGAGGCGUAGGCGGCUUGCUGGGUCUUUACUGACGCUGAGGCACGAAAGCGUGGGGAGCAAACAGGAUUAGAUACCCUGGUAGUCCACGCCGUAAACGAUGAGUACUAAGUGUCGGGUAAAACUGGUACUGAAGUUAACACAUUAAGUACUCCGCCUGAGUAGUACGUACGCAAGUAUGAAACUUAAAGGAAUUGACGGGACUCCGCACAAGCGGUGGAUCAUGUUGUUUAAUUCGAAGAUACACGAAAAACCUUACCAGGUCUUGAC
rnacentral:rRNA from 1 species